rnacentral:rRNA from 1 species
GACGAACGCUGGCGGCGUGCUUAACACAUGCAAGUCGAACGGUGAACGAGGGAGCUUGCUCCCUCCGGAUCAGUGGCAAACGGGUGAGUAACACGUGAGCACUCUGCCCCGCACUCUGGGAUAAGCGUUGGAAACGACGUCUAAUACCGGAUACGCCGCGGGAGGGCAUCCUCUCCGCGUGGAAAGAACUUCGGUUCGGGAUGGGCUCGCGGCCUAUCAGCUUGUUGGUGAGGUAACGGCUCACCAAGGCGACGACGGGUAGCCGGCCUGAGAGGGUGACCGGCCACACUGGGACUGAGACACGGCCCAGACUCCUACGGGAGGCAGCAGUGGGGAAUAUUGCACAAUGGGCGCAAGCCUGAUGCAGCAACGCCGCGUGAGGGACGACGGCCUUCGGGUUGUAAACCUCUUUUAGCAGGGAAGAAGCGAAAGUGACGGUACCUGCAGAAAAAGCACCGGCUAACUACGUG